GGUAACUUGGCAGAGUUUUGCAUUUUAUUUAUUUAUUUAUAACACAUUUGAUAGUGGCCGAAAGACUGAAGUAGAUGUUAAGAUUUACAAUUUAGCCUGGCCAUCUGCUUCCACUCUCCUCCUUGUGGAGGCGUCUGCUGAGGCCGCCUAUGCACCGCGGUCUCCACACCCCCUCUACCCCCGGGAGAUACCCGACAAAUGCAAUCCUGGGCUCUGCAGUCCUUCCUUCCCUUUCCAGACACCAUUGCCUAGCCUGAGUAUUUGCACUUUCUCCCUGGAGUUUACCAAAGGUCUGGGUGCAGAGAGGGAACCGGCCCACAGUCCCGAAACAGAUGAAAAAAUAACUCUGGCGGCGCGCCUCAUACUAGAGCUUGUGCAAGCAAGUGGACUAGAAAUAGCUCAGGGUAGAAGACUCCCUGCGGCGCCAUAGGAAGAAUGAGGCACAAGCCGAUUUUGUAGCCUGAAACGGACAUUACCCGGCUGGAAAAAGCUGGAGUAAAAAGAUGCUGAUCAGCUGGGCUGAAGAAUCAGCUGUGAUUCACUGAAGUCAAAUCUCCUGGGAAGUGUUUCCUCAGAAGCCGUGCUCCAGAGGUGGCCAAGGUUGAACCUCAUGCCGGCAGCUGAACUUGGUUGUGUAAGAGUGACCCAGCUGAUAACUGCUUUAAAGGUAUAAAGGGAUCAUGGACAGCAGGUGAGGCUUGACCCUGUGUGGCAGGCCUGGAGUCCCUGAAAAGAGCCCAGGAGAGGUUAAAGGUGAAAGUGCAGCCCAGCUCCUGUAGAAGAGUCCAGCAUUUUGGAGAUGCCAGUACCAGGGGAUAACCACCAAGAACAGCAGCAGGUGUGGAGUGGAACCAGCCUGAGCCUAGAAGACAUGUUCUGUGUGCUACAGAGGACAGAGCCAGAGAAGUGACCAGGCCCUUUGGAGGAGCUCAGAAGAUCAUGAGAGACUUCCAGACAUUGGAGGCUGAGUCAUUUACUGUUGGAACUGGUUUUGCUUUGUUCAGACUGUGACUGUGGGCUGGUUCUUCUCUCUUGAGAUGUGAACGGUAGAGAGAGGGCCCAGCUGCGGAGUCCUGGCUGCUGUUUGAGAGGACCUGAAUUUGAUUACCACAACUGUCAACCUCUUCUGGUUUCCCUAGGCAUCAGGUAUGCACAUGGUACACAAACACACAUGAAGACAAAUCACCCAUACGCAUAA